UGGGGAAUAUUGGGCAAUGGGCGCAAGCCUGACCCAGCAACGCCGCGUGAAGGAAGAAGGCUUUCGGGUUGUAAACUUCUUUUGUCAGGGACGAAGCAAGUGACGGUACCUGACGAAUAAGCCACGGCUAACUACGUGCC
rnacentral:rRNA from 1 species